UGAGGAAUAUUGGUCAAUGGGGGCAACCCUGAACCAGCCAAGUCGCGUGAAGGAUGAAGGUCUUAUGGAUUGUAAACUUCUUUUAUACAGGAAUAAAUUGGGGGACGUGUCCCCUUUUGCAUGUACUGUAUGAAUAAGGAUCGGCUAACUCCGUGCCAGCAGCCGCGGUAAUACGGAGGAUCCGAGCGUUAUCCGGAUUUAUUGGGUUUAAAGGGUGCGCAGGCGGGAUGUUAAGUCGGCGGUGAAAUUUUGCAGCUCAACUGUAAAAGUGCCUUCGAUACUGGCUGCCUUGAGUGUGGAUGAAGUAGGCGGAAUUCGUGUUGUAGCCGUCAAAUGCUUAGAUAUCACGAGGAACUCCGAUUGCGCAGGCAGCUUACUAAGCCACAACUGACGCGCAUGCACGAAGGCGUG
rnacentral:rRNA from 1 species